AACGAACGCUGGCGGCAUGCCUAACACAUGCAAGUCGAACGAACCCUUCGGGGUUAGUGGCGCACGGGUGCGUAACGCGUGGGGAUCUGCCCAAAGGUUCGGAAUAACUCAGAGAAAUUUGAGCUAAUACCGGAUAAUGUCUUCGGACCAAAGAUUUAUUGCCUUUGGAUGAACCCGCGUAGGAUUAGCUUGUUGGUGGGGUAAAGGGACCGUACCAAGGCGACGAUCCUUAGCUGGUCUGAGAGGAUGAUCAGCCACACUGGGACUGAGACACGGCCCAGACUCCUACGGGAGGCAGCAGUGGGGAAUAUUGGACAAUGGGCGAAAGCCUGAUCCAGCAAUGCCGCGUGAGUGAUGAAGGCCCUUAGGGUUGUAAAGACUCUUUUACCUACGGGAGUGAUAAUAGACAGUACC
rnacentral:rRNA from 1 species